rnacentral:lncRNA from 1 species
GUCUCGCAGGGCGCCAAGCAGCUUCCAGCCUCCGCGGCGGCGGCGGCGGAGAGGCGGCGAGCGGAGAAGGCCGAGGAGGGGGUGAGGACGGUGAUGUACCUCAGCUGCUGGGGUCCCAAUUAGCAGCUGCAACUUGCUGCUAGCUGAGGAGGGGCUGAGGACGGUGACGUACCUCAACUGCUAGGCGUGUCUCUGUUUGCUGCAACAACCAUGGCCUGAAACCUGUGUGGCUUCCCGUUGAAUCGCCCAUUGUAAAAUACCACCAUGAUGAUUUUUUUUUUUUUUAGAAAAGGAGGAUGACCCCCGGCCUCUGCAUCUGGGAGAUGCAUAAGGUCACUUUAUUAAUUAUUCUCGAGGACCUUAUAAAGUAUUACAAACAAUAUACCUGAAACUACCAUCUUGGCAACAUAUGCCGCUCCUCUUAUCCAUAUGAUGUAGGGAUGCUAGCUGGGCCACUACCCAAACCACUCACCUAAACCUAACAUCAAAAGCCGGAAGCCCCAGCCGAGCCACAUACCGGGUCUGGGGCACAAUCCGGUCAGACGCACUCUUAUGUCGUCGCCGCCAUCUUCCACAAGUCCGUCUUCAGAUUAUAUUGAAUCUUCUAUCUUGUGAAGGCCACUACUGCCAUCGACGUCACCAUGAUGCCAGACAACUACCUCCUCCUGCGCGAGUCCAUCUCCGCACAUCGGACGCCGAGCCUCCACGGCGCCAUGCCGCCGAUCUCCGCCGCCAUCAAUGAGUGAGAUGAAGUACCGCUCCACCACGGCAAGUACAAGGUGAGAAAGGGCGAGGUCGCAAUCGGAGACACGGCCAGACAUGGGCCGCCACCAGGAACCAGACAGACUCGCCAUGCACACCCAACAUCCCCAUGCCCAAGUCGGCGCCUUCAAGAAGGUAACGACGCUGUGGCGCCGCCGCCGCUUAGCCACCGGGGCUAGGGUUUUCACCCGGGCGCAGGGGGAGGGGGGAGGCAGGGGAGGUUUAGCCUCGGCGCCGCCACCAAGGAGGGAAUGGCGUCCGGGAUGCCAUCGACGCCGUGGCCGCCGGUGGCGGCCAAGGGUUUCCCCCGGCCAAGCACCCUGCCGCCACCUCCGAACCAGUCACAAAAUCAGCAGGCGCGUGCACGCCGGAGAUCCAGACCGGCCGGAGGUCAUGCAUGACGAGCGGACCAGCUCGCCUCCGAUCCGACGAGGGGAGACCGGGACCUCCCCGCGCCAUGACCAGCGCCCACCGGGACCUCGCUGCCCACGCAGCCGAGGGGAUCAGGCCUACCUCACCGACGAGCACUCCCUGCCGCCAGAGGAGCGCCGUCCGUACCAGCGAGGCCGCCGCCUCAGAUCCGACACACCGGUCGCCGCGCUCCGCCGCCGCGCCCGAGGAAGCCGGACCCCACGGCGCCGUCCACAGUCCUCGCCGCCCGCAGCCCGCGUCACGACACGGCUAGAUCUGGCGGAGUUGCGUUGCCGCACAUGAUGAUGAUGACAACAUAUUUCUGUUACUUCAGUUCAUAUUACUCUCCUUAUCUAUUUGCCUUUUGUUAUCUUGAUGAGAAAUAUGAAUUGAUGCUUUAAUUUAGUUUCAUCUUACAGCUAUUCCAUUAUCUUUGAACCCGGCCUUUUGGUCGUAUGGCAAAAAAGGAACUUGCAAGUUACAUAUGACGAGUUCAUAGCAAACAUGAUGCAUUUCUUGAGUCUGCAUCACACAUGAAGGUGUCAUCUGCAGGUGUUAAAAGUGACAGAAACACAUGACAAAUUCUCGUAUAUAUGUUAUGAAGGUGUCAUCAAGCAAUCCAUCUAGUUUCAGUUUUGCUAGUUGACCUGGGUCCAGUUGCUUGGCUCCUGUGGGAGCGCGUGAUGGGGGCCCGCUAGCAUGCAAGCCAUGCACGUCGGCGCCCGCGGGGGUGGGCAGCGCCUCGCCUGCAUGCUGCGGCUUUUGGGUGCUCCCCCCCUGCGUCUCAGCCCGCAGCGGCGCAUCCCUGCGCCUCCUGCGGAUGAUGACCCACCUGCCCCGGACGGUCCGGCCUCCGCUGUGCAGGCCCCGGCGUCCCGUGGCCGCUCCAGCGUCGCCUUGGUGGAGUUGGACGAGCCCGGUGACGGAGUGGCGGUGCUGCCGCCCGAACGACGCCGGAGCGCUAGGAUUGCUCGUAACGAGCCGUCCACCUGGCUCGGCGUGGAAGAAAAAGCUAUGAAGCUUAGGGCUCUUCGGGACGCUCUGACCGGCUGCUCGCCGCGCCUCAAGUCCAAGGUGGCGAGGGCCAAGAUGCUCGACGGGGUGCUCGACCCAUUGACCGCGGCGGCUACGGCGGCCGUGCGCUCGGCGGCUGCGAUCCCGUCUGCUCCGGCGCAGGCUAGCUCCGAUGGUUAGGACGCCUGCGUGCGUCACCCAGUNNNNNNNNNNNNNNNNNNNNNNNNNNNNNNNNNNNNNNNNNNNNNNNNNNNNNNNNNNNNNNNNNNNNNNNNNNNNNNNNNNNNNNNNNNNNNNNNNNNNNNNNNNNNNNNNNNNNNNNNNNNNNNNNNNNNNNNNNNNNNNNNNNNNNNNNNNNNNNNNNNNNNNNNNNNNNNNNNNNNNNNNNNNNNNNNNNNNNNNNNNNNNNNNNNNNNNNNNNNNNNNNNNNNNNNNNNNNNNNNNNNNNNNNNNNNNNNNNNNNNNNNNNNNNNNNNNNNNNNNNNNNNNNNNNNNNNNNNNNNNNNNNNNNNNNNNNNNNNNNNNNNNNNNNNNNNNNNNNNNNNNNNNNNNNNNNNNNNGGUAUCUACAGCGUUUGUGCUGUCCGCCGCGGUAGGGUUAGUUUGUACCCCGUCGAGGGCGUGCUGUCGUCUAUGUUUCCUUCCCUAUCUGUCCUCGGUGCCGCGGUCUGUGAUGGAUAGUGCCUCCUAUUCUAAACUUUCGUUCCUGUGUUGGAACGUGCAAGGGCUGGGGGGUGUUGACAAGUGCGGCGUCGUGCGGAACGCUAUCCACACUGUCAACCCCGUCCUCGCUUGUAUCCAGGAAAGCAAACUAUCUGAGUUGUCCACCAGUAAGGCUCGCUCGUUCUUGCCCUCCCGCCUGGGCUCUUUUGUGUCCAAAAAUGCGGAGGGUAGUAGAGGCGGGAUGGUCACCGCUUGGGACCCAGCGUCCUCAGUCUGUCCGCGUCUUCGGCCUCCCGUUACACGCUUACUGCCUCCCUUUCUUCCACGCGGUGCGCCCUCUCCUUCCGGAUCACUAACGUCUACGCUCCCUCCGAUCAUGCGUUCACGGCGGACUUUGUCGAGGACCUCAUGUCGGUCGCAGCGGGCAUCACUGGCCCCUGGCUGGUGCUUGGGGACUUCAACCUCAUCCGCUUCCCUCACGAGAAGAAUAACGAUCGCUUUGAUGCUUCUCGUGCGGCUGUGUUCAACUCCCUCGUUAACUCUCUUGCUCUGCACGAGCUCGCCCUGUCGGACAGGCUUUUUACUUGGACGAACAGGCGGGAUCCCCCCACCCUCGCUCGUCUGGAUCGCGUCUUCUUUGACCACGCUUGGGACGUCGCCUUCCCGGACUCGGGUCUGUCGUCUCGCCCCCGUUCUACCUCGGAUCAUGUGCCCCCUAGUGGUGGAGGCCGCGACGCGGAUUCCUUCCCCUUCUCGGUUUUUCUUCGAGAAUGCUUGGCUCCGCGAUCCUCAGUUUCUCCCCUCUACCCUCUCGUCCUGGUCGAACACGGGGGCCAGUCGGUGCGCUGUGGGUUGCCUGGCAACUCGCAAGAAAAGGUUCAGGGCCGCGGCCAAGGUUUGGAAAAGGCUACACAAAUACAUUCCUGCUUUUGAUAAUAACUGCAAAUUUGUGAUUGACCUGCUUGACUUUUGGGAGGAGUGCCGCACCUUGUCCUCUGAUGAACACCAGCUCAGGCAGGACGCGCGCGUGGCCUUGGCGGCUUCGAUCCGGCGGCAGAGCGCGUACUGGAAGCAGCGCGGGAAGUGCCGGGCUGUCUGCGAGGGGGACGAGAACACCGGCUUCUUCCACGCGAGCGCCUCCCACCGCCGCCGCGCCAACUCGAUCCGUGUGCUCGACGUCGACGGUGCGAUGGUGUUGGACCACGCUGGCAAGGCGGCGGCCCUGCUCACGUUCUACUCCAACCUGUUGGGCAGGGCUCGGCCCGCCGUGUGGCGCUUCGACUUGGAGGCUCUCUACCGCCACGCGCCGAGGGUGGACGCGGCGGCUCUGGUCGCGCCUUUCUUGCCCAGCGAGAUUAAAGAUGCUGCGAACCUCCUCGACCGGACUAGCGCGCCCGGACCAGACGGCCUUGGCCCCGCGUUCUACCAGGCCGCCUGGAGUACGGUCGCGGGCGACCUACAGCGACUCUUCGACGCGGUUCUUGACGGCACCGCGGACCUCGACGCCAUCAACCGUGCGUACAUUGCCCUGCUGCCCAAGGGGGUGGGCGUGCCGACGCCGGGCGCUUUCCGCCCUGUCUCCCUUCAGAAUGGGGACGUGAAAAUCCUCUGUCGUGGCCUUACCUCGAGGUUGCAGAAACAGAUUGGGGGCAUCAUCGACGUCGACCAGUCUGGGUUCUUGGCGGGCAGGAGCAUCUCCGAGAACUUUGUGUAUGCCGCCGAGGUGAUCCAAUGCUGCCACAAACGGGGGGCGCCUGCCCUCGUGUUCAAGCUGGACUUCGCUAAGGCGUUCGACUCGGUCAACUGGGGGGCACUGCGCCGAAUCCUCAUGGCGCGCGGCUUUCCCUGUCGGUGGUGCGACUGGAUGGACCUGAUCUUCGAGUCCUCGCGGUCGGCUGUGCUGCUGAACGGCGUGCCCGGGCGGUGGUUCACGGUGCGCCGGGGGCUGCGGCAAGGUGACCCAUGUUCGCCCUACCUCUUCCUCAUCGUCGCCGAUGUGCUGCAACAAAUGAUCUGUCAAGACGGGGCCCUGUUCCACCCUCUCGUCGAUGGCAAGCCCCCCUGGUGCUGCAAUAUGCCGAUGAUACGCUUGUCAUCCUCUGAGCGGACUCCGGCGCCGCGGCCCGCCUCCGCCGUAUCCUCGACGACUUUGCGGCGGCGACAGGGCUGGACAUCAACUUCGACAAAAGUACUCUGGUCCCCAUGCACGUGCCCGAGGAGGUGUUGGCGGAGACUGUUGGCGCCCUUGGCUGCGCCGUACAAGGGUUCCCGCAAGCCUACCUGGGGCUCCCUUUGUCGUGGGAAAAGCUCUGCUUCGCCGACUUCCUACCCAUGAUCGCGAAGGUUGACAGGUACCUGGCUGGAUGGAGAGCCCGUCUUCUCUCCCCGGCUGGGCGUUUGGUCCUGAUCAACGCUGUCCUCGACGCCCUUCCCACAUAUGCUAUGGCAGCGAUGUUGCUCCCACCAGCGGUGAUCAAGGAGCUCGACUCGCUCCGUCGGGCCUUCCUCUGGAAUGCAGCCGAGCGCGCCUCCGGAGCCCAAUGCCUGGUGGCUUGGGAGCGUGUUUGCAGGACCAAGGCGGAAGGCGGGCUGGGCGUCCGCGACCUCGCUACACAGAAUCGCUGCCUACUGCUCAAGAUGCUGCACCGGCUUCACGCGUCUUCCUCGCCUUCGAGAUGGGCCCUGUGGGUGUGGGCGGAGCUCGACGGCCGCUCCCUCCUCUCGCCAACAGCCAGCAGGCGCGCAGGGGAGCAUGGCCAGGCGCUGGCGCAGCUGCUCCCGCUGUACCGCGGGAUCACCAGGGUGACGGUGCGCGAUGGGAGACGGACGUCCUUCUGGCUCGACUCCUGGCUCCCGUGUGGACCGCUCGCGGUGGCUCUCCCGGUGCUGCACUCGCACACGACGAUGAAGGAGGCCACGGUGUGGCGGGUGCGUACGCGCGCCCUGGACAGUGUGCUGGUGCCCAGGCUUACCUCUGCCGGCACCGUGGAGCGGGCUACCCUUCUGGCACUGAUCGGCGAUCAGGUUACGGGGCUGGGUGACGACGAGCGCAGACCAACGCUGUGCUCAGACGCGCGUGGGAGCCUGGUCACGGUGGCCGUCUACGCCCUGGAGAGAUUCGGGGGCCUGCAGGUGUCGUUCGCGGCGUUCCUUUGGGGGUGCGCGGCUCCCUCCCGUGUUCGUUUUUUCGGGUGGCUCCUGGUCCAACGACGGGUCAACACAAGGGACGUCCUGUUGCGAAAGACCAUCAUCACAGCGGAGGGGGCUUCCUGUCCGAUCUGUUCGAGCGAGCUGGAGACGGCGGAUCACAUGGUGUUCGAGUGCCCUUUCACCCGAGCCUUCUGGGGGGCGGUAGGGGUCGAUGUGGUCGACAAAGGUUAUCAGGUGGCCGCGCUCCAGGAUCUUGACGUCCGGGGAGUGGUCGGGGAUACUGCGUGCGCUACCUUCGCUCUUCUGUGCUGCUGGCAGCUAUGGAAGCAUAGGAAUGCCGUGGUCUUCCGUGGGGCGGUGCCCUCCCUCGCCCGCCUUCUAGCUUGCUGCAGGGAGGAUUCGGCCCUGUGGCAAGGACGACUGAAAGUAGUUGAACGCGCGUGCGUCGACAGAUGGCUACAGGUGUUCUCGCACCCUGAGAGGUAGCCUGCGCCGUGCUUNNNNNNNNNNNNNNNNNNNNNNNNNNNNNNNNNNNNNNNNNNNNNNNNNNNNNNNNNNNNNNNNNNNNNNNNNNNNNNNNNNNNNNNNNNNNNNNNNNNNNNNNNNNNNNNNNNNNNNNNNNNNNNNNNNNNNNNNNNNNNNNNNNNNNNNNNNNNNNNNNNNNNNNNNNNNNNNNNNNNNNNNNNNNNNNNNNNNNNNNNNNNNNNNNNNNNNNNNNNNNNNNNNNNNNNNNNNNNNNNNNNNNNNNNNNNNNNNNNNNNNNNNNNNNNNNNCCAAUAAAACAAGAAAAUUCAGGUGGAGGGCUUUGCCCCUCCCCGGUGACCUUCAAAAAAAAAACAAUCUCCCGGUUUCCUGGUCAGAGUUAUAGAAAGAGCUAGAAUGAUGAUAGUGUAAAAAAACGGUCGACGGAGGGAGUAGGUCACACGUUUUCCUUUCUAGUUUCCCAGGGCCAUGCAAGUAAAAGAAAUGGCCACUUUUUUGCGAAUAAAAUAAACGAAAUGGCUUUUUAACAAGAGGAAUCUCCGUACGCCUGAGUAAACCAGUUUCUUUAAAAUAAUCCAGCAGAUCCUGCCACGAAGCUCAACACGGCCACUGGUAUGGUGGAAACCAUGUUCUCAAGCAUGCGUCACUCCUAUCUUAUCUCUGCCUUGUCUGAUCGUAACGGACAGAACCACCGCCCACGUACGGGGACGAAAGCGAGAGGUGCGGCGCAGGCAAGCAAGUGAACUCUCAUGAAAAGCACCCGGUAUCCUGGAAAACCAGCGGCCGCAGCCAGCUGUUUUGCUCCGACGUUCCGGUAUAAAAACCCGGCCCAUCCCCACUCUUCCUCGCAUCAACUCAAACAAGCAUCAGUUACCGCCAUUACCAAAGUUUAUGAAUAAUCGGGGCGCCGAGUGACCCGACCCCGAGCUCUCCUGCUAGCGCGCACCGGCGGCGGCCACUCCGGCCCCGUCGGCCACCCCACCGCUGGCUCGCAGCCCAGCCGCCAUGUUGCCGCCGCCUCCACCCUCGUUGCCUGUGGGCUUCAAGCCGGUUGACGUCCCGCCGCCAUCCCUAUCGUCUUCCCGGUCAGAUCCGGAUCGGGACCUCCUGCUUCCGCCGCCGCAGACGACGACGCUGGACCUGCCCACCCAGCUUCGUGCCGUGCCCAUGGCGGUGCUGGUGAUGCCUCCGUGCGAGCUCGUAGCGCCCACAUCACCGAAGCUCCCCAUGCCCGCGGCUACCGGCAACUGCCCAGCUCCGGCGCCGGCCACCGCGACACCGACGCCACCCAUGCCCGCGGCAGCUGGUGGCUGCCCCGCUCCGUCGACGACGGCUGCUGCUGUCGACAUCCUGGUCCCCGUGGCGGCUCCGUCCCUCCUCCAGCCGGCCGCGCCCGGGAGCUCGCGUCCAUCGCCACCGAGCUCGCUCCCCUCCGAGCCAGCGCCCGUGGUCCCUCCCGCAUCGACGUUCGCCGCCGCCGCACUAGCCGCGGCUGCACUUGCUUGCCGCAGAUCGGACCCGGCCAUCGGAGGGCAGAAGGCUCGUUCCCAGGAGGGCCUGGAUACCUUUGCUUCGCCGCCUGCUGGACGCCCUUGCCUGCCCGGCGGCCAACCUCCUGCACUCGUUGCUCCUGGUUGGGGGGAUUGGCGUGGAUGCUUCCAUCGUGAUGAGGCGGCUGAUGUUCUCGAGCGUGAGCAAGGGGGAUGGCAGACUGUCUCGAAGGGGCGCUGCUCGCCGCCUCCUGCAGCUUUUGGUCGCCCUUCCAUCAAUGUGCGGCGUUCCCCUCCGACGUGGCUGAGAGACAGGUGUUUCCGGUGUCUCCGUCGAGGUCAUCGCGCAUACUCCUGCAGGGAUCCAAUCCGAUGCACUGACUGCCUUCGAUCUGGACAUAUCGCUCGCUUCUGUCGUGCUAAGAAGCCUGUCCACCAAGCUUCGCCGCUCCAAUGUCAUGCUCCAUCGGCUGCUUCCACCGGUGAUGUCUCCAUGAUAGAUGUGCAGAUCCCGUCUAUCUCGGCUGAGCAUGUCGGGUUGGUGGAGGAGACCAAGAUGCUUCGCACUGAGCUUCACGACUGCCUUGCGCGUGCCGGCAGUGUUUUGGGGAGGGCGGAGGCUGCUCUUGCCAAACUAGAGGUGGUGCCGAAUGUGUCUUCGCUGCCUGAGCUUCAGAUUGGGGUUGUGCCUGAUGUGUCCCUACUGCCCGAGAUCCAGGUUGUCUCUGUCGAUGGGGAAGGUGGCAUGUAUGGAGAUCUCUCCCCUCGUGCUACAGUAUGUCAGUUGCCGCUGCCUGUCAUGCCGAUUCCUUCAGGGAGUGAACUCAUUGUUGAGGUCGUGACUCCGGUGCUGCGGAUUAUGUCUGAGCUUCAGAAGCUUUGUGGGGAGCCCACUUUGCCUAUUUCGAUGGUGCUUCCCGAGGAGAUAGGGUCUCUUGGAGGGGACUUGGCGAUGCCGACUGCGACCUCAUCGUUUUCAUUGGAGCCGAGUCAGCCGCUUGCCUUUGUGGACCUUGGAGGUUUGGCGGCUGCUGCUGCUCUCUCACCUGAGGUUGUUGGCCCGGUGGCGUCUGUUGGUGCUGAGUUUGAUGAGGUAGGUGCUUUGACACCUGUGUCUAAGGCGCCGAAGCCCGUCCAGUCUCUCAUCUUUGACCGCGACGCUAUGUUGGCACGUAUUGAUGAGGUGGUCUUCGCGAAAAAGCUUGGCCGCUUGCUCACCAGCUUGGAUGCAGCUUGUCCUGGGUCUGCCAAGACGAUUGCUUGCCUCCUAGCGGAGGAGGUUUCUACGGGCAAAAUAAAGAAGGUGAAGAAGGCUAUCAGGAACAUAGGCAAGAAGACUGACGUUAUUAGGAAGGCGUCCGCGACUGCUUAAUGGAGGAUGCUCAGUCUUUUUGUCAUCCAUCUUCGAUUGACUCGCCUCUGUGGAUUUGGUGGCGUUCGGUGGUUUCGUUGAGGGUUUCGUUGCGAUGUCAUUUUGCGAGGGCUUAUGGUUGUUGCAUGUUAUGUAUGUUUGUUGGGUUGACCAUGGUGUCAUGGAGUUUCUUUCUUAGAGAGUAGUCCGCAUGUGGUCUAUAUGUAUCGGUUUUCGCCCGGUUUUCCUUUAAUUAACUGGGCAAUUCUCUUCUUCUUAAUUAAUCGAUGAGGCAAAUCUUUUGCCUCCGUUUCAAAAAAAAAAACAAGCAUCAGUUCAGGCAGCGCAGUGACACAGUUCGAGAAAUUCAGCUUUGUUCUUUCAGUAUCACAACUUUGCAAGUCCACUAGUACCACAAAUCAGCCUCCACUCUCCAGCAGCGCAGCAAGACCAAGAAGAAAAGAAGAUAUGGCUGGUCCGGCGAAGGCGUCGUGGAUGGUGGCCAUGAGCGUCAUGUACCUCAGCUGCUGGGGCCCAAAUUAGCAGCUGCCUACAUGGUACUAGUUAGGCGUGUCAGUGUUUGCUGCAACAACCAUGGCCUAUCUGGUUGGCCUUCCGUGGAAUCCCCCAUUGUAAAAUACCACGAUGAUGAUGAUGAAAAAUGCUGUUAUUUGAGCCAAUGUUUAUUUGCUUAUUUAUUAUCUUGUGAGGAAUAUGCAUACAUGCUCUGAUUUGGUUUCUACAUGCUCUGAUUUGGUUUCUACUUGCAACCCAAACAGAAGUUACACAACACUUGACAAAUCGUAGCCAAUUGUAACGGUCACCGAAUCAAGGACCUAGUGGCAGCACACUGAAUAGGUUUAGAUCCAUUUUUCAGUGUCCAACAAGAGGAUUUGGGGAUACAGGGACAGCAAGAAGAGGAGAGCAUGCGAGUUCUAUCUUAGUUCUGAAUAUCAAUCUUCAGUUAGUGCAGUGGCCCAGCCGACGGGCUCGACACAAACGUGCUGAAUUUCUUCAGUCUGCGGCACUUCGUUAAAGUGACACACGCGAUGAAUCCUCGUAUCUGUACUCAAGGUGUCAUCAAGCAACCAAUCCAUUUAUAGUACUUAUCAGUUUUGUUGGUGGACCUGCCUUCGGUUGCUUUGUUAGUACAAAGCGAGACCAAACGAGAAGUACUUCGGAUUGGUUGAAAGUACUUUCUUUUUUCUUCUUUUUUGCGCAUAGGUUGAAGAAAGUACUUUCUUUUUUCUUCUUUUUUGCGCAUAGGUUGAAGAAAGUACUUUCUUUUUUCUUCUUUUUUGCGCAUAGGUUGAAGAAAGUACUUUCUUUCUUCUUCUUUUUUGCGCAUAGGUUGAAGAAAGUACUUUCUGUGGCUCCAGUCGACCUGAUAUGCGACGAGGUCGAACGAAUAUAUUUUGAAUUUCUUUGUUGUAUAUUCGCUAAACUGACAGAGUAGUAAUUAAUUCAACUAAACAUGAUACAACUCUAGGUUAGACCACAUGUCCACAUUAAUAAAUAAACGUGCUUUCUGAUCACAGCUAUCACAGAGUGAGGCACGUCAAAGUUACUCCGUAAGGUUCCACUGAAAGAACAAGUGUUUUAUUGUUUUAUCAUCUAUAUCUAUACCAAUAUUAAAAGACCCAAACGGGCAGAUUUAAUUAAUCUUAUCCAUUAAAUCAUGUCAAUCCAACGACCUAGACUGCUUUAAUGUCGAGCGCUUAACAUGUUUAGCAUGUACUCCCUCAUUAAACUAAUAUAAGAGUGUUUAGAUCACUAUUCUAGUUUAUGGAGGGAGUAGUUAAUUUCAUGCCAAAAAUAGUGAUAAUCACGUAAUACCACGCAAAUAAUAUCUUACUUAAUAUCCGCAUGCACUUAAUAUACUUGCAAAUUAACGUGCAUUGCACGUACACAUUGACUAGUGAUGACAAAAGACACAUUACGUAUUUCCAUUCAAAUUCCUCUUAAUAACGUUAUCUUUGGUAAGAAUGACUCCUCGACGAAGAUAGCACGCAAAGAUUUUAUUCUUAAGCGGUAUCUUUAUCUUCAAUAUCUUCUUCUUAUUAUUAUCAACUGGCACAUCAGAUUUGAUCAACGCUCUAUACACUGAAUCUUCCGAGAAUUUCCCACUCCAUUUAGAUUCCACAGAAAUUCAUCGACUCCAUGUGAUAAAUGUACCGUAGCGAGACGAUUUAUCAAAUCAUCCACCAUGCAAGUCUGGGGCCUAUUAAAUCUCGUCCGAACGUCAUAUUCAGAGGAAAGGAUUCCAGAACAGAAGUUACUUCCAAUUAAUAAGCUGAUCGAUAUAAGAUAAAAAAAAUACUUACAACUAAGAUAAACAAAUUAUCCUCCAGAAACUUGUACUAAGAUAUUUGUUAGCCGCUUAUAUUAUAGAACUCUGUAGAAAAAUAUUAAAAGGUAAUAAAAUAUACGCAUAAAUAAAAUUAUUUUAUAUAUGAAUGCUCAUCUAUUGUAAAUGGUGUACUCUCUCCAAUAAAGAAUAAGUGUCUUAAAGUAGAACUACGACUCUUAUUUUGGAUCGGAAGGAGUAUCAAUUUAAAACAAAUUAUGUAUAGUAAAUUUGAUAUAUAAAAUAAUAAAAGUGUUUGGUAUAAAUAAGUUAUAACUAUUGGCGGAACCAAAGGUUUACCAGAGUGAUGGGCGACGGCAUUGCUAGAUUAGUUUGUUCCCAUUGGUCACUCUUAUGCCUAGGAGUUUGGUUCCCCCGAACCGUUCGAGUUGUUAAUUCGGUGUUUAGAAAAAUUUCGUUGUGCAGAAUCACGCACUGAUCGGUUAAUGGGGAAAGCACUGACCGAUGUUUUUGUGCAUUGUGAGUUUGGGCCAAUAAUCGGUCCUAACCGAACAACACCGAUCAUUUAAUAAUACCAGGAAAAAGUAUACAAUUUCCUCAUUUUUGGCUGAACAAAGGCUUAGGCUACAGUUUUCUCAUGUCAAAACCACAUCACCAAAUUAAAUAAGUUAUUUACUGUUUUCUAAGCAAACCACACCACCAACUUAGGUGCAAUUGAAUCAAGUUAAUCAGGACAUAAGUUAGAGUGGGAAACAAAGUUUAAGUUCGUCAGGUGCGGAGUAUCAGCAGGCGGCUGCGCAGACCAUGUAUUAUAUUUUAUACUAUCUUUUAUGAAAUAUAUAUUUUGCUCCAUCAAUUUUCAAAGUAUAAAACAAAAAUGUUGAAAAAUUCUGGUCUCCCAACUGUCAAAUUGUCCAGAGUUGCAUUUUAUCUAUUUGUUGUCUUACCAUAAAGUUGAAACGAUAAAUUUGCAUGCAUGAAAUUAAACUCAUAUUAUUCCUGACGAAAAAAAUAUGAUUCCUAACUAUUGUCAAAGCCAAAUUUGGCUUCGCAUAUUCAACACAAAAAAAAAUCUUUGUCUAUCAAGUGUUAAAACCGUCGAAAUUUUUAUUUCGUCCCAUUGAAAAGGAUUUUGACAAUGUUGUGGCAAUGGUUUUGCAUUCAUAUCACCAUAGUUUUUUUAUAUAGUUUGGGAAAGAUAUGAUAAUAGAAUAGUGUAACAUUAGAAAAAAUCGAAGCAACUAGAAAGAAAAGUAGGGAAAAACAAGUCAAAAUUUCAGACAAUUGACAAGCAAUAUGUUUAUUUUAGGAAUUUGCAAGUCUAUAUAAAAUAACAAUGGAAAUGAAGAACUUCGUGAAAAAUCGGUAAAACUGAAGGAACCUGCGAACAAUCUGGAAUAUAUCAAAAUUUAUUAAACCUAAAAUCAAUUUAAAAUGUGAAGAAUUAUGUUUCUUGAAAAAAUAAAUAUUUUGAAUUUUAUCAGAUUCCGUCAUUUUUAGAAUAUUUGUGAUAAUUACUCAAUUUCAAAAUUCCUAAAAUAUUACUUUGAUUUUUAUGUUUUUCUAAAAGUAUUUUAAUUUCCCCACUUUAUUCAUGCUGUUUUCCAAGUGUUUGAGGUGCUGCUUUCCAUGUUUAUUUGCACACUUAGCUAAACCAUGUGCAAAACUCGGGAAGAUGAGAAAUUAGAAAAGUUAAUAUUGAAAAAGCGCACGCAACUAGAAAGUAAAACUUGGGGAAAACAAGUCAAAAUUCCAUACAUUUAGUGAACAAUAUGUUUAUGAUAGGAAUUUGCAGGCCUAUAAAAAUGAUCAAAAUUGAAGGAAUUUAGACACUUAGCUACGACAUGUGCAAACCACCUCUAUGGCAACUUCAAAACCGCUUUCUAUGAAGCAGUUAAACUAUUUUCGACAAACUUGACGUUUGAUGGACAAAAAGAAAUUUGGACUAUACUUAGAGCAUCUACAGCCGCAAACACUAAAUCCGGCCCCUCAAACGACUGCGGACGUGCAUGGGUGCGUUCGUGGGCAGUGAUUAGGCAGCCCUCAAAUUUCCUUCUCUGCACCCGAAUAUCUCAUAUUUAAAACCUUAAAUACAUACCAAGUAUGCAAAACGAAAACUUGCGCACUACGUAGAUCAACUAAAUCCUACACUAUCCUAAUCCUUGUCGUCGGAGAUGUCCACGAUCUUCAUGCCAGGCAACGGGUACAUAGGCGGCAGCUGCAACUCCGUCUCCCGUGCGUCGACCUCCACCUCUAGUUUGACAGAAAGCAUGUCGGUCUUUGCUUGUUUCUGCCGGAUGAAGCGCCGGUUGGCAUCCACAUCGGACUCCAGGAUGGUGGUAUGCUCCGCCAUCUAUGUUGCUUGGGCGAUCUCGAACUCCGCCAUGGCGCCUUCCAUGACAAAGCCCGCAACCAGCUUCAGCUCCGCCGCGUACUCCUCCGGCCCAUCCGGAUCCGUCCCCACCAUGGGUCUGGCUGCUGCUCCUCCUCCGGAUCCGGCGAGUCCAGAGGUAGGCCGGUUGCGAGCCGGGCGACGUGCCUAGCCCAAAUCCCCUCGAGCAGCUAGAAAUGCCGCUCCGGAGUUAGCAUAGUGUAUGUGGUUUUUUUCUUCUGCCGGGUCAUGGGGAGACAGACGGCGAGGGAAAAGAGAGGCGGAGAGGGAGAGAAGUGGAUGGGCUCGGGCUGUCGGCACGGAGAGGGAGGAAGCGGAUGUGGCUAGGGCUGCGAGACCUUUGAACAGCUUAAAUAGCAGGAUUUUGGCCCUCUCGCAGCGAGCCGGAGCGGCGCCAUGCGACAUUCACACCCCCACCGAAGGAGACGCAUGUUGGACCGUCGGGUUUCCGGACAAUUACAUGUGGGACCCGAUCGUCAGUUCGACACGGCGACCGUGUCCUGGCCGCCCCAUACCUGCUCCAGAAUUGGUCCGAAUAUGAGAGAAUGCCGGUCAGCCUGGGCAUUUGACAUCGGUUUGAGGCAUCCGAGUGGGUUGGAUUUUUUUGAUCCGGUCAGUGACCGGGACGCCAGCCGGACGCUUGAGACAGUUUUGAGGGACCAUAGAGGCUCUUGGUCGAGUGACCAUGGAUGCUAUUUGUAAGACGAUUACUUUUUAUUCUCGCAAUAAAAUUUGAUUCUGCUCACUGAAUAUUGACACACGUUAUCUAUGCCUCAUUCCGAUCUUAUUUCUGUCGGCGUGUGUCAAAGCGAAACUCUCGCAAUGGACAAAAACCGCUACUUCCACGGCAAAUAAACAAAACGACACGGCAGCGAUAGGUGUGACGUGCACAAGCAGAGUAGCAGCAGAGUGACCCCUCCGAAAGCACCCGGUAUCCCUGAAAACCAACGUCCGCGACCACUGUUUUGCUGCAGACAUCCCAAGCCUCCCUCCUGUAUAUAACCUCGUUCCAAUCCCACUCUUCCUCUCAUCAACAAAUUACACAAGCAUCAAUCAGCCUUCAGCUCAAAAUUCAUUCCAUACUCCACACUCGACUGCUAGCUACCAAUCUCCAGGCAUCACAUAGUUCGGACGGAUCAAGCAGUUGUACUGCCUCCACCAACGCAGAGAAAGAUCAUGGCGGGUGCGGCGAAGGCGUCUUGGAUGGUGGCGAUGAGCGUGGGCGCCGUGGAGGCCCUCAAGGAUCAGGCUGGACUCUGCCGCUGGAACUACGCGCUCAGGUCCAUCCACCGGACUGCCAAGGCCAGGGCCAACGUCCACGGCGCCGUCUCUCAAGGCUCCAAGCAGCUUCCGGCCUCCGCCGCAGCCGUGGCGGAGAAGCAGCGAGCCGAGAAGGCCGAGGAAGGGCUGAGGACGGUGAUGUACCUCAGCUGCUGGGGGCCAAAUUAGCAGCUGCAGCUUGGUACAGCAGCUGCAGCUUGGUACUAGCUAGGCGUGUUAGUGUUUGCUGCAACAACCAUGGCCUGAAAUCUGUCUGGCUUCCCGUGGAAUCCCCCGUUGCAAAAUACCACCACAAUGAUGAUGAUGAAAAAUGAUGUUACUUGAGCCCAUGUCUAUUUGCUUAUUUAUGAUCUUGGUGAGGAAUAUGCAUACAUGCUCUGAUUUGGUGUCUGCUUACAACCCAGCAAAUUGUGACGGUCAACGGGUCAAGGACCUAGUGGCAGGACACUGAGUAGGGUCAGAUCAAAUUUUCAGUGUCCAACAAGAGGAUUUGGGGAUACAGGGACAGCAAGAAGAGGAGAGCAAGUGAGUUCUAUCUCAGUUCUGAAUACCAAUCUUCAGUUACAUACAGUAGGCAUCAGCCUCCAACCUGGACACGGCCACCUCACGCACACGCAACACAAUGAUUUGCUAAGCAGGCUGGGUUGUCUCCGUUUCCCUUCGAUCUUUAGUUAAUACAGUGGCCCGGCCCACGGGCGCGACACAAACAUGCUGAAUUUCUUCCAUCUGCGGCACUUUGUUAAAGUGACACACGCGAUGAAUCCUCGUAUCUGUGCUCAAGGUGUCAUCAAUCAACCAAUCUAUUUACUGUACUUAUAACUUAUAAGUUUUGUUGGUGGACCUGUCUUCGGUUGCUUUGUUACUCCAAAACGAGACCAAACGAGAAGUACUUUGAAUUAGGUCAUGGCGAAUAUGUUCUGAAUUUCUCCGUUGUAUAUUCGCUAAACUGACACAAUAGAAACAUGAUACCUCUUCAGGUUAGACCACAUUAAUAAGUAUCACAGAGGGAGGCACAUCAAAGUUACUCCGUAUCUUGAACUAAAAAAAGUUACUCCGUAUCUUUCUACCAGCAAUUUUGGAUUUUUCCCUAGGGCCAUGAAACCAAAAGAGAAGAAAAAUAAAUAAAAUCAGACUUUCAGAUAAUAGGUACAAUCGGCUGCACAGUAGUUCCUUCCAAUUAAUUAAGCUGAUUGAUAACUAACUGUCCUUGGCUCGGGCCAGUGCCGCGGAAGUUCUGCUUCCCGUCUCUCUUCAAACACUCGAGGCGUAAGGGCAGAACUGUGGCACAAGCUAUCACUGACGACCGCUGGGUCUUGGACCUUGCACACGGCAACAACAGCAACCUUGUCAGCGAGGUUCUUGAUCUGCAUCGUCUCAUUCAGCGCCGGCAGCUCAACUUCCAGGCCGAAGAUCAGGACCAGAUCCGCUGGAACUUGGAGGGAUCAGGUCAGUACAGCUCCCGCUCGGCCUACGCCCUCCAGUUCUUGGGCUCGACGACGGGCAUGUUCCAGGCCAUGAUCUGGGCCAUCUGGGCUCCGGCGAAGCUUAAGAUGUUUGCGUGGCUCCUCCACCAGAACCGGCUGUGGUGCAAUGACCGUCUCCAACGUAGGGGCUGGCCAAACUCCUACUUUUGCCAGCUCUGCCUCAGGAACCUGGAGACCUCGGCUCAUCUGUUCUGGAGCUGCCCGUUCACGAAGACAGUAUGGACUAGCUUGUCCUCUUGGCAGCACUGCCAGGGGCUAAGUAAGGCGUGUCUGCCCAACGAAUGCAGCUCCCUGGAAAAGGUCGAAGCCAUGGUUUCAGCAACAGGGCCAGCACAUGCGAAAGGAAUCAAGUCGCUGAUCAUGCUGGUGCUUUGGAAAAUCUGGCAAGAGCGCAACAACCGCGUUUUCAGAAAGAAAGAGGCUACGGUGCAAGCGGUGAUCAAUGACAUCAGGAGAGAGCUCUGUCUUUGGCAACAGGGCGGUUUCAAAUCCAUUCUGAGCCCCUUCGGGGAUCCUCCAUGAGAUAGUAGUCUUAGAUCCGGGUGCCUCAGGCACCAAGGCUUUUUCCUUCUUUUUGUUUACCUCCUUGAUCCCAGGAUCAUCGCCUUUGUCACUUUGUCAUCUGCUCCCUGCUUAACCAAUGAAACCCCAGCCAUGGCUGGCUCGUUCAAAAAAAAAACUAACUGUCCUCCACAAAGCUUUACUAAGAUAUUUGUUAGCCGCUUAUGUUAUAGAACUCUAUAGCAAGAUAUUCAAAGAUAAUAAACUAGACACAUAAAUAAAAUUAUGUUGUAUAUGAAUGUUCAUCUAAUUUUCCUCUUAUAUGGAUGGAAUUUAACUUACUUAAAAGUCCCAAACAUAUUUGGAAAAAAUAAUAGAAGUUUUACAACAAAUUGGAGUUGCUUUGUCAUUAUAGUAAUCUCAAUAGUUUUUUUAUAAUAUUUAACUCUAAGUUACUACUUGGGGUUCAUGUUGUUAGGUAUAGUAGACAUUUUUUUUGUAAAUGUUGUACUCUCUCCUAUCAAACAUAAGUGUCUUAAAAUAAAACUAUGACACUUAUUUUGGAUCGGAAGGAGUAUCAAUUUAAAAUAAAAUUAUAUAUAGUAAAUUUGAUAUAUAAAAUAAAUAAAGUAUUUGGUAUAAGUAAGUUAUCUGGCGGACGACGAGGAUGCUAGCCAUGACGGCUGCGUCCCGGCGGACGACGAGGUUGGUGCCGCCCAUGGUGGCUGCAUCUCGGCGAACGACGAGGUUUGUGCCGCCCAUGGUGGAGGACCGGGCGGAAGUGGAGGCCGACCAGAUGGAGGGGGUGGUGGUUGCUACCUCUUGAGCAUGCGUUGGUUUUCCCUUGAAGAGGAAAGGGUGAUGCAGUAAAGUAGCGUAAGUAUUUCCCUCAGUUUUUGAGAACCAAGGUAUCAAUCCAGUAGGAGGCCACAUGCAAGUCCCUCGUACCUACACAAACAAAUAAAAACCUUGCAACCAACACGAUAAAGGGGUUGUCAAUCCCUUCACGGCCACUUGCAAAAGUGAGAUCUGAUAGAGAUGAUAAGAUAAUAUUUUUGGUAUUUUUAUGAUAAAAAUUAAAAGUAAAGAUUGCAAAAUAAACGGCGACAGAAAUAGCUAGUUGACAGGAGAUUAAUAUGAUGGAAAAUAGACCCGGGGGCCAUAGGUUUCACUAGUGGCUUCUCUCAAGAUAGUAUAAGUAUUACGGUGGGUGAACAAAUUACUGUCGAGCAAUUGAUAGAAAAGUGCAUAAUUAUGAGAAUAUCUAGGCAUGAUCAUGUAUAUAGGCAUCACGUCCGCAACAAGUAGACCGACUCCUGCCUGCAUCUACUACUAUUACUCCACACAUCGACCGCUAUCCAACAUGCAUCUAGAGUAUUAAGUUCAUAAGAACAGAGUAACGCAUUAGGCAAGAUGACAUGAUGUAGAGGGAUAAACUCAAGCAAUAUGAUAUAAACCCCAUCUUUUUAUCCUCGAUGGCAAUAAUACAAUACGUGUCGUUUCCCCUUCUGUCACUGGGAUCGAGCAACGCAAGAUUGAACCCAAAGCUAAGCACUUCUCCCAUUGCAAGAAAGAUCAAUCUAGUAGGCCAAACCAAACUGAUAAUUCAAAGAGACUUGCAAAGAUAACCAAUCAUACAUAAAAGAAUUCAGAGAAGAUUCAAAUAUUGUUCAUAGAUAAUCUUGAUCAUAAACCCACAAUUCAUUGGAUCUCGACAAACACACCGCAAAAAGAGUUACAUCGAAUAGAUCUCCAAGAAGAUCGAGGAGAACUUUGUAUUGAGAUCCAAAUAGAGAGAAGGACCCAUCUAGCUAAUAACUAUGGACCCGAAGUUCUGUGGUAAACUACUCACACAUCAUCGGAGAGGCUAUGGUGUUGGUGUAGAAGCCCUCCGUGAUCGAUUCCCCCUCCGGCGGAGUGCCGGAAAAGGCCCCAAGAUGGGAUCUCGCGGGUACAGAAGGUUGCGGCGGUGGAAAUAGGGUUUCAUGGUGCUCCUCGAUGGUUUCGGGGUACAUGGGUAUAUAUAGGAGGAAGAUGUAGGUCGGUGGAGCCACGAGGGGCCCACGAGGGUGGGGGCGCGCCCGGGGGGGGGGAGGGAGGUGCGCCUCCCUGCCUCGUGGCCUCCUCGUUGAUUUCUUGACGUCCACUCCAAGUCCUCUGGAUCACGUUUGUUCCAAAAAUCACACUCCCGAAGGUUUCAUUCCGUUUGGACCUGCUUGGUAUUCCUUUUCCGCGAAACACUGAAAUAGACAAAAAAACAGCAAUUUGCACUGGGCCUUGGUUUAGUAGGUUAGUCCCAAAAAUAAUAUAAAAGUGUAUAAUAAAGUCCAUUAAAUAUCCAAAACAGAAUAUAUAAUAGCAUGGAGCAAUAAAAAAUUAUAGAUACGUUGGAGACGUAUCAGUGGUGUCGCGCCGUGCGCCAGCGUUGGGUGAUCGAUAAGACCCAAAGACGAAGACGGUGGCGUCGGGCCGUGCGAAACCAGAGGCAUCGGGCGCGCGUCAGUGCCGCAUGAUGAUGGUGAUGGCAUGCCAUAGGGAUGGUCAUUCGGCGCUGGGGCCGUCUGGCUGUGGUGGUGAACCUGCGGUGGUCGGCCUGUCUUGCCGUGCUGGUUGUGCGGUGUGUUGGAAAUAUGCCCUAGAGGCAAUAAUAAAUGGUUAUUAUUAUAUUUCUUUGUUCAUGAUAAUAGUCUAUUGUUCAUGCUAUAAUUGUAUUAUCCGGAAAUCGUAAUACAUGUGUGAAUACAUAGACCACAAUAUGUCCCUAGUAAGCCUCUAGUUGACUAGCUCGUUGAUCAACAGAUAGUCAUGGUUUCCUGACUAUGGACAUUGGAUGUCAUUGAUAACGGGAUCACAUCAUUAGGAGAAUGAUGUGAUGGACAAGACCCAAUCCUAAGCAUAGCAUAAAAGAUCGUGUAGUUUCGUUUGCUAGAGCUUUUCCAAUGUCAAGUAUCUUUUCCUUAGACCAUGAGAUCGUGCAAGUCCCGGAUACCGUAGGAGUGCUUUGGGUGUGCCAAACGUCACAACGUAACUGGGUGACUAUAAAGGUGCACUACGGGUAUCUCCGAAAGUGUCUGUUGGGUUGGCACGGAUCGAGACUGGGAUUUGUCACUCCGUGUGACGGAGAGGUAUCUCUGGGCCCACUCGGUAAUGCAUCAUCAUAAUGAGCUCAAUGUGACUAAGGCGUUAGUCACGGGAUCAUGCAUUGCGGUACGAGUAAAGAGACUUGCCGGUAACGAGAUUGAACAAGGUAUUGGGAUACCGACGACCGAAUCUCGGGCAAGUAACAUACCGAUUGACAAAGGGAAUUGCAUACUGAUUGAUUGAAUCCUCGACACCGUGGUUCAUCCGAUGAGAUCAUCGUGGAACAUGUGGGAGCCAACAUGGGUAUCCAGAUCCCGCUGUUGGUUAUUGACCAGAGAGGCGUCUCGGUCAUGUCUGCAUGUCUCCCGAACCCGUAGGGUCUACACACUUAAGGUUCGGUGACGCUAGGGUUGUAGAGAUAUAUGUAUGCGGAAACCCGAAAGUUAAGUUGUUCGGAGUCCCGGAUGAGAUCCCGGACGUCACGAGAGGUUCCGGAAUGGUCCGGAGGUGAAGAAUUAUAUAUAGGAAGUCAAGUUUCGGCCACCGGGAAAGUUUCGGGGGUUACCGGUAUUGUACCGGGACCACCGGAAGGGUCCCGGGGUCCACGGGGUGGGGCCACCUAUCCCGGAGGGCCCCGUGGGCUGAAAGUGGAAGGGAACCAGCCCUUAGUGGGCUGGGGCGCCCCCCUUGGGCCUCCCCCCAUGCGCCUAGGGUUGGGAACCCUAGGGGGGGAGCUUCCCCCUUGCCUUGGGGGGCAAGGCAACACUUUCCCCUCUUUGGCCGCCGCCCCCCCUUGGAGAUCCCAUCUCCCUGGGCCGGCGCCCCCAGGGGGCCUAUAUAAAGGGGGGGGGAGGGAGGGCAGCAACCUACAGCCUUGGGCGCCUCCCUCCUCCCCUGCAACACCUCUCUCUCUCUCGCAGAAGCUCGGCGAAGCCCUGCCGGAGAACCGCUACAUCCACCACCACGCCGUCGUGCUGCUGGAUCUCCAUCAACCUCUCCUUCCCCCUUGCUGGAUCAAGAAGGAGGAGACGUCGCUGCACCGUACGUGUGUUGAACGCGGAGGUGCCGUCCGUUCGGCACUCGGUCAUCGGUGAUUUGGAUCACGGCGAGUACGACUCCGUCAUCCACGUUCAUUGGAACGCUUCCGCUCGCGAUCUACAAGGGUAUGUAGAUGCACUCCCUUCCCCUCGUUGCUAGUAUACUCCAUAGAUGCAUCUUGGUGAACGUAGGAAAAUUUUAAAAUUAUGCUACGAUUCCCAACACGGUGGUCGGCCCGUUUGGAUGUGGCGUUGAGGGUGCUGAGAGUUGGGGGGAAACGACUGACCAUGGUGGUGGAGGAGGCCGUGGUCCUGACCGUACUGAAAGCGAGGGGCAGGUUGAAUCUGUGGUCGGAGAAGAGAAGGCGGUGCCAGAAGGAUUUGGUCCUGAAAGUGUUGGGCCGGGAGAAUCGGCGGCGCGGGCAGGAAGUUGGGACAAAGGUGAUCAGGGUGGACGCGUGGGGACGCGGCAGCAGCAUAGGACUGCCAGUGGCCGCCACAUGGCUGCCGGUGUGGGAGGGAAAGCUCGGAGCAUCGUAAGAUUUUGGGAAGGGGUUUUCUGAAUGGAUCCCCACCCCACAAAGGUGGAGGCGUCUUUGAAGCGUUCGGGGUGCGGGUGCAUGGAGCCAGACAGUAUAGCGAGCGAACUGCGAGGUGAAAAGCCUGACUACUUUUUCCUUUUCUUUUGGGGAGGGUAAAAGCAUUGCUAACAGUGGAUGCUAUCUUCUCCUAUCACUCUGUCUGUACUCGGUUUUUACCGUACAUCCUUCAAAGUACAUCCCUGUAUAUAACCUCCUCUUAGGGGGCGUUUGGUUUACAGGCUAUUCACCAUAGGGACAGGGAUAGACAAUUUUUUAGGGGAUAUCACUUGUUUGGUUUACUAGCCAGGAGGGAUAGGGAUAACCAGAUACUAGCGAAUAUUCCUUCAAAACGUGGUUGACGGGAGUCACGAGAUUAUGGCGGAUGAGGGCAGCCACCCGCGCUUGCGUGAAACGUUUUCCCAUGCGCGCCCUCUGUCGCGUGUCCGUGGCAAUCGGCCCGGCGGCGCUCUCGGAUGCCUCCGCCGCUGGCACACCACAGCCCACGCCGGCGCCCUGCUUGGCCGUCGGCCAAGGCCCUGCUCCUCGAGACGAGGCGAGCCGCGGGUGCUCCAUCCUUUCCAGGCAACUCGCCUCCCACUCUCGGCCAUGGCCCCUACCUCCAUCAACCCCCCUCUCUCGGCCUGUUGUGACCGUGGCUGGCGGGGAACGGGGAGCUCCGGCGGCUGGGAACGAGGAUCACUUGAGAUCUUCCAGCGGACACAUGUGACGCAGAUGGGGAGACCUCUGGUGGUGGGGAACAAGGAGAUCUCCUGUGGUUUGGAACGAGGAGAGCUUGCCUAUCUGUUGUCUAUAUGUAUGUGACAGUCUUUCAACUCUCCCGUUUUCUCGACAGGUAGCACAUAUGAACACUACUGAUUUAAUAGUAUGGACAAUCACCUGUAUGAUUGUACAAAGAAGAACAUGUAUACAUGUAUGAAUAUUUGGUAAAAAAAUUCGACAAAGGGUGGAUUUUAUUAACUCAAAAUGAAGGAUCAAGGGGAUACAAACACAUUGAGCACACACCCGGCCUCUGCAUAACCAGGAUGCACACAGCCAACACCAACACACACAAAAGAGAAAAAAAACGCCAGCAAAGAGCAAAGUCAUACAAGACUCAAGCUAUGCCUAAGCGAGGGAAAAGAAAAAGGAAAAAACACUCUGAAACGAUCAAAACAACGGUUGAUAAACUACAUCAACGACCAUAUCCGCACCAACCAUCUCUUGACAGAACAAGCGCAACGAGAAAGUUUCUUCAACAGCAACGCCUUCAGGAAGGAAACGACGCUUAAACGUCGCCGUCACUGGACCCGACCAACAAAGGUCAGACUCUAGGUUUUCACCCCGAAGAACAAGUCUGAGCACAUCCGAGCAAUGCCUUCAUCAAGGUAACGACGCAAAAACAUCGGCAUCGCCAGGUAUAACCAAUUCAGGCCAGACCUAGGGUUUUCACCCCGGAACUCGAGACCGGGUACUCGAGAAGCACCACCAAAUCAAAGUCAUCAUGUUGUCGCCACCACUUUCCGCGAUCCCAGCAGCUAAAGGUGAGGCACAGUCUUUACAUGCCGGCAUGGCUUGCCGCUGCACAACCAUCUCCUCUGCGUCAAGCCGUCGUCCAUAGAAUUUAUCUCACCGCUGAAUGCAAACUGGCCGGAUUGAGAGCCACCGAAACUCCCAAUGGAGCCUUCCGGUUACAUCACACAACCUCGCCAGUGCGAGCUGCUGGCAAUAACCAAUGGAUCCUAAGAAAAAACUCUCAUGAAGACCCUUGAAUGGCCACUGCAAUCUGCGGCUCGAGUGGCCGGACGGUGCCGCCAUGGUCAGGAUGAAAAUUGCCCCCUCGCAUCGAUCGGACGAACCACCUGCGGCCAAGUGACAAGCAUCGGUCAACCGAUGUAAGUCCCAAGGCGCCACCACCAACCUCCUUCGGCCUUGUGAUCUGUCGGCGGCAACAGCGGCGAGCGUCUUGGGUCGCUUGGGAAGAUGACCCUUAUCACCAACGCUGCCAUGCUCUGGACAGCCGGAGGAAGCUUCGGUCCGAACCUGCAUGAUCUUGACCGCAGGCUGCUGGAGGAGAAUGGAUGGUCAUCUCCACCCAGGCCAUUGCCAAGGCAUCACUAUGCUGCCCAGUUCAGAUUCCCAGAUCGCUCUAGCCAUUGACCUAUGCAUGUCCCUGUGCACAGAUCGCCUGCCGCUGCAUGUCCAUGCGCAGAUCGCUCUAGCCUUCGGACGUUGCAUGAAGAUCGCUGCUGAGUUGUUGUUCACCUCGCGCGCCGUUCAGCGCCUUGCGUAGAAGCCAUCGCCCGGAGCCCCGCUGCCGCCGUCAGCCACACAGGCUUUGCUCGGCAGCGUCGUUCGGCGGCGGCGAGGGAAGCGAGAGAGGUGGGGAGGUCCCGAAGAAACAUGAAUAUUUGGUAAAUAGUGACCAGUUCAUGGUAUUUGAUUGUAUGGACAGUCACGUGUAUGAUUGUACAAAGAACAUGUAUACACGUAUUUGAUUGUGCAAAGAGGAACAUGUAUAUAUGUAUUUGAUAUACAAAGAAGAGCAUGUAUUAAUAUUGCGUUGUAGAAGAACAUAAAAAAAUAACUAAUGACUAUCCAUAUCCACCUUUUAUCCUUGCAACCAAACAAUAAAAAGCGGUUAUCCAUCUCAUCUAAUCUUUCGCAACCAAACGACAAAAACUGGCUAUCCCCAACCAGGUGGUUAAGGAUAUCCUCAGCCAAGCCAACCUCGCCCGUGAACCAAACGCCACCUUAGUCCCACUCUUACUCUCGUCAACACAAGCAUCAAUCACCCUUCAGCUCAGUACAUUCACAACCACAAAGCCUGCGCUCUACACUCGACUAGUAGCUACUAAUCUUCAGUCAUCACCUAGUCUAGAAUCAACAGAUCAGUCAGCGGUGCUGUCUCCACCAACACAGAGAGGGAUCAUGCCGGGUGCGGCAAAGGCGUCUUGGAUGGUGGUGAUGAGCGUUGGCGCGGUGGAGGCGCUCAAGGAUUAGGCCGGCCUCUGCCGGUGGAACUACGCGCUUAGGUCCAUCCACUUGGUAGCGAAGGCGAGGGCCAACAUCCGCGGCGGCGUCUCCCAGGGCGGCAAGAAGCUUCCAACCUCUGUGGCGGCGGUGGCGGAGAGGCGGCGAGUGGAGAAGGAUGAGAAGGGGCUGAGGACGCUGAUGUAGCUCAGCUGCCGGGGUCCCAAUUAGCAGCUGCAACUUGGUAGUUGCUACUACCUAGGCGCGUCUGUGUUUGCUGUAACAACGAUGGCCUGAAACAUGUCUGGCUUCCCGUGGAAUCCCCCAUUGUAAAAUACCACCAUAAUGAUGAUGAUGGUGAUGAAUGAUGUUACUUGAGCUCCAUGUCUAUUUGCUUAGUUAUUAUCUUGGUGAGGAAUAUGCAUCCAUGCUCUGAUUUGGUGUCUGCUUACAACUCAGAAAGAACUUACAGCUACACUUAAACAACAAAUCAUAGCAAAUUGUAACGUUCAAUGGGUCAAGAGCCUAGUGGCAGCACACUGAAUAGGUUCAGAUCAAUUUUUCAGUGUCCAACAGGAGGAUUUGGGGUUGGGGAUACAUGGACAUCAAGAAGAGGAGAGGAGAUGCAUUCCCGGAUCCAGACCAAUCUUUAGUUACAUCAGCCUCCUACCUGGAUACAGCCAACUCAUGCACACGCAACACCACCCUUUGCUAAACAUGUCGGGCUGUCUCGGUUCCCCUUUGAUCUUCAGUUAAUGCAGUGGCCCGCCCCACAGGCUCGACACAAACAUGCUGAAUUUCUUCAGUAUGCGGCACAGGCGAUGAAUCCUCGUAUCUAUACUCAAGGUGUCAUCAAGCAACCAAUCCAUUUACAGUACUUAUCAGUUUUGUUGGUGAACCUGUCUUCGGUUGCUUUGUUAGUCCGAAACAAGACCAAACGAGAAGCACUUCGAAUUGGUUGAAAGUACUUUCUUUCUUCUUCUUUUUCGCGCAUAGUUUGAAGAAAGUACUUUCUGUGGCUCUAGUCGACCUGAUGCGCGACGAGGUCGAAUGAAUAUAUUUUGAAUUUCUUUGCUGUAUACUUUAUUCGCUAAGCUGAUACAGUAGUAAUCACUGUCCAAAAAAUCUUCCGAUUCAGCGAUUUAUCGUCCGAUUUAUCGCUACUCUUGGGGUGACCGAUAAGAUUAUGCCUUAUCUUCACCGUUUAUCGUUUGAGCCGAUUUAUCGCUAUGACAAGCGAUUUAUCAGGAAUCUGCCGAUAAAUAGGACCUAUUAAUAGCACUAUGUUUGCAAAAGUUAUGUUUAUUUGCAUUUUGUGGACCUUGUUACGCAAUAUGUAUUGUUGUGCUAUUUUGCUUGUCAUUAUAAGAGGAUUCAAAGGCUGGGAAUCAAGGUAACACUUUUGUCCAAUAUUUUUUUGGUUUUGAAUUUAGCAUAUUUUAGUAUUGGGAACCCCGAAUUUGAAAAAAAAAUGACAGAUUAAUAGUCGACCGAUAAAAUCGAUUAAUCUAUCGAUUUCCGAUUAGUCUCUAAUCCCCAGCUGACCGAGACGCUAACGCUAAGCGAUAUCCUCAACAUUGGUACUAAUUCAACUAAACAUGAUACAGCUCCAGCUUCAGAUUAAACCACAUGUGCACAUUAAUAAGUAAAUGUGCUUUCUGAUCACAGCUAUCAUAGAGUGAGGCACAUCAAAGUUACUCAAUAUCUUUCUUCUUCCAAUGAAAGAUCAACACUUUCGAUUUUGCCCUAGGGCCAUGAAACCAAAAGAGAAGAAAAACAAAUAAAAUCAGACAUUCAGUUAAUAGGUACAAUCAGGUGCACAGUAGUUCCUUCCAAUUAAUAAGCUGAUCGAUAUAAGAUAAAAAAUACGUACAACUAAGAUAAACAAAUUGUCCUCCACAAACUUGUACUAAGAUAUAUGUUAGCCGCUUAUGUUAUAGAACUCUCUAGCAAAAUAUUCAAACGUAAUAAAAUAGACGAAUAAAUAAAAUUAUUUUUUAUAUGAAUGUUCAUCUAAUUUUUCUCUUAUAUGGAUGGAAUUUAACUUACUUAAAUGUCCCAAACAUAUUUGGAAAAAUAAUAUAAGUUUAACAACAAAUUGGAGUUGGUUUGUCAUUAUUGUAAUCUUAAUGGCUUUUUUUAAUAAUAUUUAACUCUAAGUUACUACUUGGGGUUCAUGUUGUUAGGUAUAGCAGACAAUUUUUAAAAAAUGUUGUACUCUCUCCGAUGAAAAUAAGUGUCUUAAGUAAAACUACGACACUAACUUUGGAUCGGAAGAGUAUCAAUUUAAAACAAAAUUAUGUAUAGUAAAUUUGAUAUAAUAAAUAGAAGUGUUGUCUAUAAAUAAGUUAUAACCAUUGGUGGAACCAGAGAUCGAGGUUUACUGGAGUGACGGGCGAUGACAUUCCUAGAUUAGUUUGCUCCCAUUGGUCACUAUGUACGGGUGGUAUGAAUCACUACCGGAGACCCAGGGCGAUCGACUAUGCUCAACCCAGCGCUUUAUUCUUCCAUUGAUGAUAACCUUAUUUCUAAACUGCAUGCACAAUUAAAAUUGAUUAUUCUAAUCAAUCCUGCAUACUUUCAUCAUGUAUUGUGAUUCUUUUUUCGAUGCCUUAGUUAUGUCAUCAUUGUUAUCUUCAACACUAUUUAAAAAGACGUAAUAUUCCGUCUUUAGUCUUACGUCUUUUGUUUCGUCCAACCUCCCACAUCCCUGCAACCCCACAUCGUCUCCCCUUCUUUUGUCUAUCUCUGGUUUAUUUUCAUGUCACUCCCUUUCCUGGUUCGAUAGGAUGCAACCCACACACCAUAAUCAAUCACUAUCGACGCCUCCCACACUCUUCUCACUUCUCCCAACCUUGGGUUUCCAGACUCCACUACUAUAGAACCGAAUAACACCGGCAAAUCAUAACAUCAUUGCUGUGCCAACGGCCUAUCAUUAGUUCCGGGUCGGUAAUGACUUUAUCAUCACUAACAAUCCCAAUGGAAUGUGGCUGAUGAUGACUACCGUCUGAAUGGUUGGCUGAGAAACCAAAAAAGUUGGGGUACACCAGCUGCCAAAAAUGAACCAGGAUAAACCUCAGCUUUUAAAGAAGUGUUGGUUUAAAAUACCCCUUUGGUUAGAUUCCAAUUUUUUAGCCAAAAGUUGGCAGCACAAACUGAAACAAACACCAAUUGCCAAAAAAGAACUAGGAAAAACCUCAGUUUUUAAAGAAGUGUUGGUUGUUUAGAAUACCACUUUGGUUUAAAUUCCAACUUUUUUAGCCAAAAGUUGGCAGCUCAAACUGAAACAAACUCAGGCUUGUUGUCUCACUACUAUCACAGGCUUGAGGCAUCUGCCGUCGGACAUGUGCUUUUCUCGGAGUCUGUGUCGCCUCAGUUUGUCCGGAUGCGGAUGCCGGGCAUGGAGCAACUCGUUGCCUGCACGUUGUACGCCCCUCAAGCGGGUGAGCCGUCAUACGACGAUGUGGACUGACAAAUGUUGGAGAUAAGCAACCAAUCCAUUUAGUACUUAUCAGUUUUGUUGAUGGACCUGCCUUUGGUUGUUUUGUUAGUCCAAAACGAGACCAAACAAGAAGUACUUCGAAUUGGUUGAAAGUACUUUUUGUGGCUCCAGUCGACCUGAUGUACUAAUAUGUUUGGAUUCCUUUGUUGUAUAUUCGCUAAAAAAAAUUGCGGGUGUAUAUUCCCGAAACUGAAGCAAUAGUAAGUCAACUAAACAUGAUACAACUUCAGGUUAGACCACCUUAAAAAGGAAACAUGCUUUCUUUAUCACAACUAUCACAGCGAGGUACAUCAAAGUUACUCCCUCCAUUCCAUAAUAUAACAUCGUUUUGCCAACUAAAAUAGCUCGCAAAACGAUUCUAUAUUGUGGGACGGAGGGGUACUCCGUAUCUUUCUAGUUUCCACUAAAAGAGCAGCAAUUUGGAUUUUGCCCUAGGACCAUGGAACCAAAAUAGAAGAAAAAUAAAUAAAAUCAGUCAUUCAGAUAAUAGGUACAAUCAGGCGCACAGUAGUUCCUUCCAAUUAAUAAGCUGAUCGAUAUAAGAUAAAAAAUACUUGCAACUAAGAUAAACAAACUGUGCUCGACAAACUUGUACUAACAUAUUUCUUAGACGUUUAUAUUAUAGAAUUCUAUAGCAAACUAUUCAAAGGUAAUAAAAUAGACUCAUAAACAAAAUUAUUUUGUAUAUGAAUGCUACUUCUAAUUUUUCUCUGAUAUGGAUGGAAUUUAACUUAAUUAAAUGUCCCAAACAUAUUUGGAAAAUAUAAGAUAAGUUUUACAACAAAAUAGAGUUAGUUUAUCAUUAUAGCAAUGUCAAUGGUAAUUUUUUGUGGAUAAAUGUUAACUAUAUUUGGCAUUUUUGUUGUUAGGUAUAGUAGACAAAAAUUGUUGUUUUAAAAAAAGCAAUUUAAAACAAAAUAAUGUAUAGAAAAUAUGAUAUAUAAUAGAAAGUAAUUUUUUGGCAUAAAUAAGUUAUAACCCAUUAGCGAAACCAAAUCAAGUUUUGUGGAGGUGACGCACAACGACAUUCCUCGAUUAGUUUAUUCCCAUUGGUGAAUAUGUACGGGAGGUAUGAAUCUGCAUCGGAGACCAAGACAACAGACCAUGCUUACCCAAGUGGUGAAUCUGCCACUAGUGAUAAUCAUAUUUCUAAACUGUAUUAACAAUUAAAUUUGACCAUUCUAAUCGAUCGUCUAUGCUUUCACCAUGUUUUGCAAUUUUCCUCUUAAUAUGUGUUGACCUUAAUUAUGUCAUCAUUAUUAUCUUCUAACACCAUCUAGAAAGACUUAAUAUUCCGUCUCAAAUCUUAUAUCUUCUCUUUCGUGCGACCCCCCACAUCCCUGCACCCCCACAUCGUCUCCCUUUUUGUCCAUGCCCGCUUUAUUUACGUGUGCCUCCCAUUCUUGGUACGCUAGGACGCAACCCACACACCACAAUCGAACCGAUGCCUCCCUCACCCUUCUUACUACCUCCCAAUCUAGGGUUUCCAACCCCCACUACUACAGAACUGAAUAUUACUGACCGGCCAAAUCAUAUCAUCACUGAUGCGCCAACGACCCGUCAGUAGUUCCUGGACGGUGAUGACUGUAUCAUCACAAACGAGCCAGGUGGCCGGUCAAUGAAGAUGACUAGAAGCUGAAUGGUUGGUUGACAAGCCAAAAAGUUGGGGUACACCAGCCGCCAAAAAUGAACUAGGGGGAAACCUUAGCUUUUAAAGAAGUUGAUUGUUUAGAAUACCCCUUUGGUUCAGAUUUCAACUUUUUUAGCCAAAAGUUGGCAGCUCAAAGUGAACAAACACCAGUUAGCAAAAAUGAACUAGGGGAAAUCCAGCUUUUAUAGAAGUGUUGGUACCUUAGAACACCCCAGCCUUUGGUUCAGAUUCUAGCCUUUUUAGCCAAAAGUUGGCGGCUCAAACUAAAACGAACACAAGCUUGUGGUCUCACUAUCAUCACAAGAGCGUGUGGUAUUGUGGUAGAACUCUCCGGUUGAAUUUGUGAUUGUGGUGACCCUUGCGAAAUGUCAAAACAGUCAAAAUUUUGUAUUUGCCACACUGAAAGAGAUCUGAACAAUGUGGAGACAACAGUUUUGCGUACGUGACAACAUAGCUGCCACAAACAAUUGACAAAACUCAGAAAUAGAGGAAAUAAAGAAAUAAAUAUUUCAUUUUAUGGAAACUCAGCAAAUUUCAAUAAUAAGUCUAGUAAAUUUAUUAUCUUUGAGUAUUAAUGAAACAAAUAGAAAUCCAGGAUUACAUUUAGAUAAAACUUAAAAAAACAGAAGGAAAUAAACAAAAAACUCUGAUAUUCUAGAAAACAUUAAAAAUAUGAGGAUAUUAAAAUAAAAAUAGGAGAAAAUUACCACCGCUUUAUCUCAACCAAACGGCUCUGAGGGGGUUCAUUGUGACCUGCCUCCGAGGGAAUGCCAGCCAGUUAACAUAACUGAAACAGAAAGCUUCUAAUUUUCAUCUAUCUCUAUGUUUUUCAUAACAUUUUUUAUUUUUUGCAUAUUUAAAUUCCUGAAAUAUUUUAUAAUGGUUUUUCUCUUCAUAUAUUUCUUGACUGAGUCGAAUUUAUUUUCUCGCCGAGCUGCCAAGGAAUUGGCCAUGUUAGCAUUAAAAUUACUUUCAGUGAAGCAACAUGCUAAAUUGGGACGGUUCUCGUACUACGACUGUGUCAUAUAGAUGUUCAGUACUCCCUGUCUCCCUCUGCCAAAACUUAUAAGUGGCUAUUGUAGUAAAGAAAAUUUGUUUUUUCUAAGUUGUGCAUGGAUUAAAGUUCUAUAAAAUUCUUAAUUUAUUUUCAUGCCGAUAGCAAAACAGCAGUAUGAAGGAGUCAAAAUUAGAUGAUGAUUAUUAUUUCUUAUUUGAAAAUAGAAGUCUUUCUAUUUUUGAUGUGCCUGAGAAACCAUGGGAGGGCCAUUUGAAUUAUUGAUGCUAUUUCUAGGAGACAGGUUCAGUGACUCGCAAUAAGAAAUUCAAUUAUGCUCGUUGGAUCUUGACACAGGUUAUUGUCAAUGCGUCGUUCCGAUAUUAGAGCAUCUCUAGCAGACCCGCAAAAUCCCAAUCCACAUAAGUGUUUUUUGCAGUUCGUGGAAAAGUCCAUAUGCAGGCCGGCACGGGCGAGGUCAGACUCGGAUCCUGCAAAAUGGACCCGUAAAAAAGGAUAUUCGGCAAAUAUGCUCUUUUACGGGUCGGCUACGCGGGGUCUGCUCAGGCACCGCCGCGUUGACCCACAAACCGAAUACACCCAAUUCACGAAUUUGACAUCGGUUCUAACAAAUAAGUUCAAAUUCAAACAAUAGAACACAGUUCACGCGCAAAUAAAAACUUAAGUUUUGUAGGACAAACGCAAAAGAUGGUCUUGCAGAAGUGACGACCACGUCUGGCAUCAUCUUGGUCGAUCUUCACUCCGCGCCAUCGAGUCCAUGGAGUUCAUCGGAACCACCGAAUCCAUCUCCGAUGCUUGUUCCAACUCCCGCACCGAAAUCAUCGACAUUGGUUCCAAACCCCGCUGAGAAAACCUCUUCGGCACUGUAACACACACUAGCCGAUGCAACCAUUCUCUUCUUUAAGAUUUCUCUUCUUGCCAUAUCAUGCCAUUCUUUGGUGAGGUCGUCCAUGUCAUUGCGGUUCAUUGUGAUGAUCUUGUUCUCUUCGGCGAGCAACUUGGACAUGGCUUUGUUUUCAGAGGCACAUGCUCUUCUCUCCUCAAUGGCCGCUUUGCGCCGCCCCUCUUCCUUGAGCAACUGCCAUUUUUUUGCUUCUUCCUUGCCUUCUUCUCGACCAACUCUUUCUUAAUCUCCAACGACUUCAACAACAUCAAAUCAUUUGAUUGCACCAUGGCAUCAAUCUUCUCCCUCAAGCUCGAAGAUUCGUGCUCUCUCUUCAUCUUCUCCUUAGUCUUCUUGUCGACAUCGGGCUUGUUCAAGUUUCUUGGACCAUCAUCAUCCUCAUCUUCAUCCAUGUUAGUAAGUGAACCUCUCUUCGGUGGGGAUUCUUUGUCAAUCAACUUCCACUUCUCGCACUCUUUGAGCAAGUCCCAACAAUGCUCUAGUUUGAAGAAUUUACCUUCCGAAGCUUCCAUGUCUUUGUAUCUAUGUUGGCCAAUUUUGUCCUACACAAUUUGAACAAACUCAAUAUGAUGUGCACAACUUGAACAAAGUCAAAACGAACUCACAUAGUCGGAUUCCACGGUUCCACUUGGAGGUGCAUUGCGUGCUUGCUCCAAGCAAGCUGCCAAACGGCUGCAAAUUGGCUCGAUCACAUCCCAACACCCUUGAAGCGACUGAAAGGUGCAUGGAGUCCUAUUGGGAUAUUUUGCCAUCAUGCGGAAGUAUUGAUCUUCGAUCCUUUGCCAAUACCUCUUGGUGGUUUGAGAAGUUCCCGUGCAUGCAUCAAGAGACCCCGCACUCCAUGCCCUGAUCAAGAUUUGAUCUUCCAAGAUCGUGUAGUUCUUCGAUCUCUGGCUUUUUUCACUUUUUGUUUGCGAUUGCUCAUACGCCCCCUCAUCGAUCUCCUCCACUUCUUCCUCACCACCAUGAUCAUCCACGCCGCCCUCCGUUUCAUUGUAAUCGAAUGCGGCGAACGGGGCUUGAUCGAUGUCGACGGUGUUGGUAUCCAACAAGCUCACGAACUCGGUAGUUGCAUUGUUCGAACCACCGCUAUAGUGAACGACAACAAGUCACGAGCUAUUGCAAAUGGCGAAAAGCAAAGGAAAUUGCCAUGACCAAAGACGCAUACCUACCGGCCAUUUCGUCAAACACCUCGCCUGCGGUGGGAGCAGCACCGUUGAGCGGCAUCGCCGGGGAACCUCUUUCCGGGGCGGAGGGAGUGGAUGAAGGAGGCGGCUUCUUUGUAGCCGGAAUCCUCUUCCUCUUUACGCCGGUGGCCUUCGCGACCUUCUCCGCCGCCGGCCGGGAUCGCGCAGCGGCGUUGGCGCCCGGAGCGCGGGCCUUCGCGGCGGGGGCAGGCGGAUUCCCGCCCUGCACGACCACGUUGCCCUGCCGCUUGCGGGCAGGCGCGAGGUACCUUGGGCGACGGCCGGGCCAACAUGGCCGGCGACGAGAUCCGCCCGAGGGGAUUGAGCGUGCGCGACCUCGACGGUGACGAGGGACAUCACGGAGUCAUCCAUGGCGGCGAAGGACUGCCGAGGAAGAUGCACCGGAGCGGGAGGUGACGGGGCAAUGGUGACGGAAGGUGGGGGGAGCGGGAACGGCCGCUCGGAAAUGUCCCUCCCGCCAAAUCUCGCUGCGGAUAGGGGCCGAGCUCGGAUCGUCCUCCCAGCCUGUGAAUCUAGAGGUCGUGGGAGAUCUUUUGCCGCGCCCCGCAAAAAAAUUUAAGGGUCGGCUGCGAAUACGGUGUCUGAUCGGACAGGUUUUUCCGCCCCAACCCGUAUUUUGACGGUUAUUUUGCGGGUCGAGACGGUACGUGGGGUCUGCUAGAGAUGCUCUUAUCUCUGCGGACUUGCGUCGAUCCGAAACUGUCGCAAUGGACAAAGCCGCUACUUCUUCCGCCGGGAAUAAACAAAACGACGUGAGGUGAGCAGCCCACUGCACCGGAAUGACAGCGAGAGGUGAGCAAACUGAUUCUGAAUUCUGAAAGCACCCGGUAUCCUGGAAAACCAACGUCCGCUGCCGCCUGUUUUCCUCUGGCCCUCACGUGUAUAUAACACCAUCGGCUCCCACUCUUCUUCUCAUCAACACAAACAAGUAUCGAUCAGCUUGCUUCACCACCACAAAAUCCACACUCCACUGCUAUCAAGCUUCAAGCAUCAGAGAGUUCAGGCAGACCAUUGAGCGGCAUCAUCUCCUCCAACGCGGCGAGAAGAACAGAGUUGCAGAGAGAUCAUGGCGGGUGCGGCGAAGGCGUCAUGGAUGGUUGCGAUGAGCGUGGGCGCCGUGGAGGCGCUCAAGGAUCAGGCCGGGCUCUGCCGCUGGAACUACGCGCUCCGGUCCAUCCACCGGACUGCCAAGGCCAGGGCCAACGUCCGUGGCGGCGUCUCGCAGGGCGCAAGGCAGCUUCCGGCUUCCGCAGCGGUGGCGGAGAAGCGACGAGCAGAGAAGACCGAAGAGGGGCUGAGGACCGUGAUGUACCUCAGCUGCUGGGGUCCCAAUUAGUACUACUAGCUACCAAGAGGUGUUUUCUCCUAGCUCCAGCAUCUGUUAGAAACUUCUAGCAACAACCACGCCGUGUGACUUGGCUGGUUAAUUCCCUGCCGAUUAUAAAUACGUAUCACGAUGAUGAUGAUGAAACCUUUCCCCACUUCGAGUUCACAUUAUCCUUCUUCAGAAAGGUUUGAAUUGCCUUUCAAACUGAUCUGUUUGUUUCAAAUUCUUUGGGAAGAUUGUUGUUUCGAGUUGGGCGCAAGCUUUGCCUGUUGCUCUGUUCGAUGGGCAGAGCAUUGAUCCUGCUCCAUUUUCCGCCAGCUUGUGCAGAUGAUAAUCAAAACCUUCUUCUUUUUUUGCGAAUUAGUGUUGUAGGUUCAGUUUUAUAAACAUAUGAAUAUGAUACUACCUCCGUCUCGGUGAAUAAGUCAUUCGCGUAGUUCUAGGUCGAUGAUUUAACUAUCUAAAUAUGGAUUAUGUGUAUAAAAAAUAUAUAUUUAGAAAUUACAUCCGUGUAGAAAUCUAGUGAUAUACUUUUCAUAACAUAUAACUCAUAUUUAAUUGCUCAAAUCAAUGACCUAGAACUACGUAAAUAACUUAUUCAUCUAGACGGAGGUAGUAGUACAGUAUGCAUCUUUCCACUAUUUGUGCAACCUCACAUGCGUCUUCUUUGUUGUGUUCGUCCAUCAGACGUACGCGGGACUGUUACUACCAAACAAGCGCUGAAAGUGGAAACCAUGUGUUGCUCCUCUGGUUCCCCCUCCCCCCGGCCAGCUCUCAUACUCGUACGUGUUCUCACUGUCACAUGUCCACAACAUGAGCCUGAAGCCCUGAGGUGAUAAAGUUUCUCCAGUUAAGUCGGUGAAGAAACUUACAAUAUUUGGCUACUGCACUGAAAAUGUGAUUGCUUGCUAUAGGACCAGCGCAUCAGACCAGCCGAUGAAGACAAGUGUAGAUCGGAAGGAUUCAACUUGCAGACACACAGACCUAGACGAACGAAGAUCGGAUCCAUCGAAGACAAACGCCGACCGUAUCCCAUGAAAUCCGUUGGAAACACACGUCCACACGCCCUCCGACGAGCUUGAAGCAUCAACCGGGCGUGGGCUAGGCAGGGAGAACCUUAUUUCAUCUAAAAAAAGCAGUCGCCGCCUCAUCUUCUUGAGCAUGGCACAAAUCCUAACAAAACUCUGAAAAGCAUGUAAAAAUGGAGCCCUCCCGCCGGCAAGGGCCGGUAUCCACCGCGCCUCCAUGGUCCAAGGACCAUAGAAGACGAGGCGGACCGGUGGCGGCGCCAGCGAGAGGUAGGGAAACCCUAGACGGGAGUUCGCACAAGAGCGGGAGCGAAGAAUUUUUUUUUGUACAAUUAACAUUCUUGGCUUUACAUGUCACCAGUGGUUAUACCUUUUUAUUAAUUUGCAGGGGCAUGUAUUAUAUAUUUUUUGUAUAUUUUAAUAAAUAUAUAUUUUUCUCCAUCAGUUGUCAAAGUAUAAAACUACAAUGUGGAAAUUUUUUGGACUCCCAGGUCUCCCAAGUGUCAAACGUCUAGAUUUGCAUCUUGACACAUUUAUAGUUGUCUUACCAUAAAGUUGACGCGAUGAUUUUGAAUAUACCGAAUUCAUGUUAUUCCUUCGGGGGAAAAAUGAUUCUCCAACUAUUGUCAAAUCUUAAAUUUGGCUCCAAACAUCAAAAAAAUUCUUUGCCAAUCAAGUAUCAAAAACAUCUAGACUUGGUAUUUUGCCCCAUUGAAAGUGGUUUUGCAUACAUGGUAGCAUAAUCACCACAAUGAUUUUUUUUACAUCACAUGGGAAAGAUGAGAAAAUAGAACAAUAAAAAAUUCAGACAUUUGCUAAACAAUAUAUGUUUAUUUUAGGAAUUUUUUGUCUAUACAAAAAAAAGCAUGGAAAUGAAGAGGUACAGAAAAAAUUGGUCAAAAUGAACGAAUUUGCGAAAAACCUUUUAUAUUUGAAGAUGUAUUAAAACUAAGAGAAUUUCAAAUUUGAAGAAUUAAAUCGAGGAAAUUAAAUCUUUUGAGUUUUAUCAGAUUACAUGGUUUCCUGAAUAUAGUAUAUGAUAAUUAUCCAAUUUCAAAACUCCUGAAAUCUUACCUGAUUCUUUAUGUUUUUCCUAAAAAAUAAUGUGUUAAUUUCCCCAUUUUAUUUGUGUUCUGCCAAUUUUAUUUGCACACUUAGUUACGACAUGUGCAAAACCCCCUCUAUGGCAACUAAAAUAAAUUGCUUUCCAUGAAGCAGUAACUUCGACAAUUCUACCCGCAAAAAAAAAAAACUUCGACAAUCCUGACAUUUUUUAGCCUACGAACAAUAGUCCUACAGUAUUCUAAGACAACUAAUGUUACUACUCGCAAGUGGCAAUAACAUUUGAAUCUGCUUACUGAAUAUUUACACACAUCACCUAUCCUUUAUUCAUAUCUUAUCUCUGUCGGCUUGUUCCAAUCCCAGACUCUAUCGCAAUGGCCAAAACCACCACUUCCACAGAGAAUAAACAAACGACACGGCAACGAUGGUUGCGGCGUGAAGAAGCAGAGUAGCAGCAGAGUGAUGACUCCAGAAGCACCCGGUUUCGUGGGAAAACCAACGUCCGCGACCACUGUUUUGCUCCAGACCUCCCGUAUAUAACCACGUCCCAGCCCCUCUCCCCCUCUCAUCAACACAAGCAUCUACACUCACAAAGUCCGCGCUCUGCACUCUACACUCGACAACUAGCUACUCUACUACUCUUCAGUCAUCACCUACUUCAGACCACCAACACACAGAGAGAUCAUGGCGGGUGCGGCGAAGGCGUCUUGGAUGGUGGCGAUGAGUGUGGGCGCCGUGGAGGCCCUCAAGGACCAGGUCGGCCUCUGCCGCUGGAACUACGCCCUCAAAUCCAUCCACCGGGCAGCCAACGUCCGCGGCGGCGUCUUGCAGGGCGCCAAGCAGCUUCCGGCCUCUGCUGAGGCGGCGGCCGAGAAGCGGCGAGGGGAGAAGGCCGAGGAAGGGCUGAGGACGGUGAUGUACCUCAGCUGCUGGGGUCCCAAUUAGAAGCUGCAACUUGGUACUAGCUAGGCGUGUGUGUGUUUGCUGCAACAACCAUGGCCUGGAACCACGAUGUAAAAACUUGGUACUAGCUGGCUUCCCGAGGAAUCCCCCAUUGUAAAAACCCCGAUGAUGAUGAUGACAAAUUUCUGUUACUUCAGUUCAUAUCACUCUCCUUAUCUGUUUGCCUUUUUGUUAUCUUGAUGAGAAAUAUGAAUAGAUGCUUUACUUUAGUUUCAGCUAUUCCCUUGUCUUUGAACCCGGCCUUUUGGUCGUAUGUCAUUACAACUUACAAGGACUUCAUUUUUUUACCUGAGUUCAUAGCAAACAUGCUGUAUCUCUUCAGUC